GUGCCAGCAGCCGCGGUAAUACGGAGGGUGCAAGCGUUAUCCGGAUUUACUGGGUUUAAAGGGUGUGUAGGCGGGUCUAUAAGUCAGUGGUGAAAUCUCCGGGCUCAACCCGGAAACUGCCAUUGAUACUAUAGGUCUUGAAUAUUGUGGAGGUGGGCGGAAUGUGUCAUGUAGCGGUGAAAUGCUUAGAGAUGACACAGAACACCGAUUGCGAAGGCAGCCCACUACGCAACUAUUGACGCUGAGGCACGAAAGCGUGGGGAUCAAACAGGAUUAGAUACCCUGGUAGUCC
rnacentral:rRNA from 1 species